rnacentral:rRNA from 1 species
GGGGAAUAUUGGACAAUGGGCGGAAGCCUGAUCCAGCAAUACCGCGUGUGUGAAGAAGGCCUGAGGGUUGUAAAGCACUUUCAAUUGGGAGGAAAACCCACCGGCCAAUACCCGGUGGCUUGACAUUACCUUUAGAAGAAGCACCGGCUAACUCCGUGCCAGCAGCCGCGGUAAUACGGAGGGUGCAAGCGUUAAUCGGAAUUACUGGGCGUAAAGCGUGCGUAGGCGGCUUGUUAAGUCAGAUGUGAAAGCCCCGGGCUUAACCUGGGAACUGCAUUUGAAACUGGCAGGCUAGAGUUGGGUAGAGGGGAGCGGAAUUUCAGGUGUAGCGGUGAAAUGCGUAGAUAUCUGAAGGAACACCAGUGGCGAAGGCGGCUCCCUGGACCCAAACUGACGCUGAGGUACGAAAGCGUGGGUAGCAAAC